rnacentral:rRNA from 1 species
UACGGAGGGGGCUAGCGUUGUCCGAAGUUACUGGGCGUAAAGCGCGCGUAGGCGGGUUGGUAAGUCCGCUGUGAAAGCCCGGAGCUUAACUCCGGAGGGUCGGUGGAUACUGCCAGUCUUGAAGGUGCUAGGGGGAGAUGGAAUUACCGGUGUAGCGGUGAAAUGCGUAGAUAUCGGUAGGAACACCAGUGGCGAAAGCGGCUCACUGGACCACUACUGACGCUGAUGCGCGAAAGCUAGGGGAGCAAACAGG